GACGGAGGAGGCAAGCGUUAUCCGGAAUUAUUGGGCGUAAAGCGUCCGUAGGUGGCGACUCAAGUCUGCUGUCAAAGAGCGAGGCUCAACCUCGUGCAGGCGGUGGAAACUGGGUAGCUAGAGUACGGUAGGGGUAGAGGGAAUUCCCGGUGUAGCGGUGAAAUGCGUAGAUAUCGGGAAGAACACCAGUGGCGAAAGCGCUCUACUGGACCUGUACUGACACUGAGGGACGAAAGCUAGGGGAGCGAAAGGG
rnacentral:rRNA from 1 species